ACAUGGUGGCUUAGUGGUUAGCACGUUUGCCUCACACCUGUAAGGUCUGGGGUUCGAUUCCCGCUCUGCCAUGUG